GUGUUUGCUUCAACAUACAUAACUAAAAUUGGAGCAGUACAGAGACGAUUAGCAGAGCCCUGCACAGGAGGACACUUGAGUCUGUGAAGCAUUCCACAGUUUU
ensembl:snRNA U6 U6 spliceosomal RNA